AACGAACGCUGGCGGCAUGCCUAACACAUGCAAGUCGAACGAGAUCCUUCGGGGUCUAGUGGCGCACGGGUGCGUAACGCGUGGGAAUCUGCCCUUAGGUUCGGAAUAACAGUUAGAAAUGACUGCUAAUACCGGAUGAUGACGUUAAGUCCAAAGAUUUAUCGCCUGAGGAUGAGCCCGCGUAGGAUUAGCUAGUUGGUGUGGUAAAGGCGCACCAAGGCGACGAUCCUUAGCUGGUCUGAGAGGAUGAUCAGCCACACUGGGACUGAGACACGGCCCAGACUCCUACGGGAGGCAGCAGUGGGGAAUAUUGGACAAUGGGCGCAAGCCUGAUCCAGCAAUGCCGCGUGAGUGAUGAAGGCCUUAGGGUUGUAAAGCUCUUUUACCCGGGAUGAUAAUGACAGUACCGGGAGAAUAAGCCCCGGCUAACUCCGUG
rnacentral:rRNA from 1 species